GGUUGAAAUAGCCCUCACAGGGAGGGAGGAAGGGGUGCUGUCAUGCACCAUACAUGCUGCAGGGCGGACACUUGCUGUUGGCAACAUGGAACACCUCCCUCUUCUUCACCAGUACUUCUCAUUGACUGAUGUACAGAACUUUUCCUGCAAGUUGAAUGGCAGAUCAUGGAUUCAUCAUCUAUUAAAACUAGAGGUCUACUAACCUUCCAUGCAUUUUGAAGACUUUCAACAACAUUCUAUCUGCCAGCAAUACAUGUGUGGGUAUCAUAAAUCAUGAAACUCGAACAGCUAUCAAUAUGCUCUGGUGCUUCCCAGUACUAAGUGAUGAAAAGUCGACUAUCAGAAAAUAUGUACCAAGAAGAGGAGUCAUUGCUGUGACUGUGCCUACCCAUGUGGUUAAGAAGCCUUUGGAAGUGAUUUGCAGGAGAAAUCUGGAAAGGAUGAAUGAAGGAUCAAGUACAUGCAAAAAGUCUACUACACCUGCUGAUGAGAAGUACUCCAAAGCCUUCUGUGCAGGACCAUGGUACAUUAAUUUUCCUGAAGCCAAGAUGGUGAGGCUGUCAAACAGCUUGAAGAUGAAAUAGUGAGGUCUAUGAAUAGAGAAGAUAACCGUUCUUCCCUGCUGAGAAAUCCUAAGUUAAAAGGGAAAACAAUGAAUCAUUAAAUAUAUGAAUCCUGAA